CGUAAAUUUUCAAUUCAUUAUUUUGGAAUAAUAAAAUCUAAUGUAUUUUUCGUAUGAUGUCCUAUAUAUAUCGCUUCAACUUCCUUAAGGGAGUGAUCAAAUUCGUUAACUAAACCGCUCGCAAAUACUUCGAACUAAUAAUCAAGGUGGCCGAACUAACAAUUUUUAGCACCACGUGGCGGAAUGGAAAUUUUACUUAAAUUUUUUCCUCAAUAAAAAUCCUAAUCGAGUCCGUCAGUCCCAAGCGUUCUGCAGGUUAGAUUCGAUAACUGAAAAUGAUCUGAAUUUCUCUACGACACGUGCGUCGUAUAUAUUUUAAUGGUUGCUUCAUCGAUUUGAAGAUAACUAGGAAAUAUAUGCCGAAAACUUUUCCAUCAUUUGAUGCGGAACCAAAAAAAAUAUUUGAAUAAGCGGUUGGGUCACCCAACAAUAAAUGUAAAUGACUUUCGAAAAACAAAAGCCAGUCAGACCCGAAACAUCACACAUACACCAACAAAAGUAUAAAAACGAGGAAUUUUUCACUAAUCCAUAACAGUCCACACGCAACCGCGUAGAGCAAAUCUUUAUUAUCGAAUUUGUAACUGAAAGUCUUCGUAUCCGUGCAAUCAUGUGGUCAAUUCGACUUUUCGCCGUUUUGCUUCUUAUUGUAAUCGUCAAUAGCGUGAUCGUUAACGCUGAUAAUGGUUCGGAAAAAUUUGACCCUCGUACCAAGGAAGCAGCAACGUUUCGACAAUGUUAUUUCAAUCCUGUAACGUGUUUUUAAAAAUGGAGGAUCACGAUCUCGGAUUUCAACGGCCUCUGAAAUGAAACAUUUUUUCCAGCAGGGCAGUUCCUGCCUGUUGUCAAUACUUAUGUACCCACGAACUAGUAAUAAGAAAAAUAAAAAAUUGAGAUGU